GCGGGCGUAGCUCAGUUGGUUAGAGCGCCGGCCUGUCACGCCGGAGGCCGCGGGUUCAAGUCCCGUCGCUCGCGCCA
rnacentral:tRNA from 18 species